GUCCAGCUGACGAGUCCCGAAUAGGACGAAACGCGCUUGCUGGAU
rnacentral:hammerhead_ribozyme from 1 species